rnacentral:rRNA from 1 species
AUUGAACGCUGGCGGCAGGCUUAACGCAUGCGAGUCGAGCGGGGGGAGGUAGCUUGCUACCGGACCUAGCGGCGGACGGGUGAGUAAUGCUUAGGAAUCUGCCUAUUAGUGGGGGACAACAUCUCGAAAGGGAUGCUAAUACCGCAUACGUCCUACGGGAGAAAGCAGGGGAUCUUCGGACCUUGCGCUAAUAGAUGAGCCUAAGUCGGAUUAGCUAGUUGGUGGGGUAAAGGCCUACCAAGGCGACGAUCUGUAGCGGGUCUGAGAGGAUGAUCCGCCACACUGGGACUGAGACACGGCCCAGACUCCUACGGGAGGCAGCAGUGGGGAAUAUUGGACAAUGGGGGGAACCCUGAUCCAGCCAUGCCGCGUGUGUGAAGAAGGCCUUAUGGUUGUAAAGCACUUUAAGCGAGGAGGAGGCUACUUUAGUUAAUACCUAGAGAUAGUGGACGUUACUCGCAGAAUAAGCACCGGCUAACUCUGUGCCAGCCGCCGCAGUAA